rnacentral:rRNA from 1 species
UACGGGGGGGGCAAGCGUUGUUCGGAAUUACUGGGCGUAAAGGGCUCGUAGGCGGCCAACUAAGUCCGACGUGAAAUCCCCAGGCUUAACCUGGGAACUGCGUCGGAUACUGGAUGGCUUGAAUUCGGGAGAGGGAUGCAGAAUUCCAGGUGUAGCGGUGAAAUGCGUAGAUAUCGGGAGGAACACCAGUGGCGAAGGCGAGUCCCUGGACGAUACCUGACACUGAGGCACGAAAGCCAAGGGAGCAAACAGG